GACGAACGCUGGCGGCGUGCUUAACACAUGCAAGUCGAACGGAAAGGCCCUGCUUUUGUGCGUUGCUCGUGUGGCGAACGCGUGAGUAAAACGUGAGUAACCUGUCCUUAACUUUGUGAUAACUUCAGGAAAAUGGGGCUAAUACCGGGUAGGAUCUCCUGCUGCAUGGUGGUGGUUGGAAAGUUUCGGCGGUUGUGGUUGGACUCGCGGCUUACCAGCUUGUUGGUGGGGUAGUGGCGUACCAAGUUUUGGACGGGUAGCCGACCUGAGAGGGCGACCGGGCACAGUGGGAUUGAGAUGGGGGCCAGAGGCAUACGGGAGGAAGGAGUGGGAGAUAGUGCACGAAGGGCGGAAGCAUGAUGGAGCAACGCCGGGUGCGGGAAGACGGCCUUUGGGGAGGAAACAGCGUGUGAGUGUGACGAAGCGUGAGUGACGGUAAUGAGUAAAGAAGCACCGGUAAACUACGU
rnacentral:rRNA from 1 species